rnacentral:rRNA from 1 species
UACGGAGGGAGCUAGCGUUGUUCGGAAUUACUGGGCGUAAAGCGUGCGUAGGCGGUUCGUUAAGUCCGUUGUGAAAGCCCUGGGCUCAACCUGGGAAUGGCAGUGGAUACUGGCGAGCUAGAGUGUGAUAGAGGAUGGUGGAAUUCCUGGUGUAGCGGUGAAAUGCGCAGAUAUCAGGAGGAACACCAAUGGCGAAGGCAGCACUCUGGGACGUGACUGACGCUGAGACGCGAAAGCGUGGGGAGCAAACAGG